CAGCUCUGGUUUCUCCUCAGGCCGUAUAAAUCUUUGACUUUUUACUAAAUAUUCCCGCAGAGAGGAACAUUUGGGUUUUUCAUUAAUUUUUGAAGCUCUACAAGUGUUGACU